AACAAAAAGGAGUCGUCUUCUUUUCUGUUUAUUUCAUUCCGUGAAUUUUUACAAAGUUGUAAGCCGUAGCUCCUAGAGUUUUAUUGCUAGGAUAGCCUUUUUACUGAAAUUAUAUGUCCGAUCUCAGGAGACAUUUUAAAAUAGCUCACCAAAUGUAAAUAAAAUUCUGAACAGUUAAAUUCGUUGAAAAACACUGCGAGUAUUAAAACUGUACAACACAAUAUUAUUCAUUUAUUUUUGAAAACAAUGUGUCAAUCAUGUUCAAAUCAAAAUCGAAGUGCAGAAGGCUGUACCGCGUGCUACGCGUGUUUCUGUAUAGUAGUAGGGACUAUUUACUUGAUCCUUAGUAUAAUAGCUAUUAUUUUUUCUUCUGUAAGAAUUGCUGUUGUGGAGACCCAUCCUGUAUUUGCGGAAGACUAUAAUACCAAAAGCAAUUUAAUAUUGUAUUUGAUUAUUUACAUUAUCGAUGCUGUGGUGUGCAUGACGUAUCUUUUAGCUGGGAUACUUAUACAGAGGGGAUUGAAAAAUAAUAAUAUCGGAACGGUAAAGGUCGGAAAGUGUCUCAGCUAUGCUUUUCCAAUAGUAAACUUACUGUUAAUUUUUCCAUUAGUUGUGCACAUUUGCUCCGUGAUCCGAAUGUGCGAUUAUAUCGACGAACGCCGGAAAUAAGAGAUUGCCUUACUCUCUUAUUUUUAUAGUGAAUCUUUGAUGACUGUGAUGACUCACGAUUAAUAAUUUUAUAAUCUGGAACUGACUCAGACAGAUUUCAUAACCGAAUCAUACAAAUAGAAAAGGUUCACAUUAUAUGCACUGUUUUUAAAGUUGCUCUUCUUCCGAAGGGAAUAUGGACACAGCACCAUCUAUUGUCGGCUGGAAGCAAUUUCAAGUUUCGGUUUAAAUCUUUUGUGAAUUUGGGAAAUUUUGAAUGAAUAGCAACAACAACAAAGAAGUGUGCAUAUGUUCCGCUUUGCGCAAAAGUAAAAAUUCCUAUUACGUCCAAGUUGGUGUAAACAGUAUCUACAAGCCCCGUAAAUACUGAAACGUACUGUAAAGAAAAUCGUAGAUAUUGGGGAACACAUCUGUGUUUGCUUGGAGCCUAACACUUCUCCUAGGCACUAUAAAUGUACACCCGUUCGGUCCAUUGGCAUUAGUUCCCGAUCCAC